rnacentral:lncRNA from 1 species
ACUAUUUAACUGUCCGAACUACCCCCCACCCCCGCUCAUCGUCCUUAACACACCCUCAGAGACCCUUCUCCGUCUCCGCCGUCUGCCGUCGCCGGAAAUCGCCCACGGGAUGGCGGUGAGUCUCCGUUCCCACCCAACAUUACACCCUUGAAUAUCCUCUUCCCCCCUCAUCUCAAACCCCUUACUAUCUUCCCUUGAAUCUCAUCCCAAUUCCUCGAAUAAUCAAAACCGUCAUCGUUAUCUCUGCCGCACACAAGGGCCACCUCCAAACGACCCAAAAUCUACACCCCAGGCUCCUCUCCUCCUUCUCUUUCCAUAUCUAGCCUUAGCUUCCCUCAAAUCCCCACCGAAAUCUUCGAAUAUUAAAUCAAAACCCCAGCCAAAAUCCUAGUUCGUCCAAACUCGCUCAAACUCACACCCUACACUCUCCUUACCCUCAUCUGCCUAAAUCCCAAAUCAAUUUCCCUCAAAUCCAACUCAAACCCUACAAAUUUCAAAUCAAGGGUUUUCAGAGCUCAAACUAUUUUGGAAUGUCAAGAACUCAGAUAUUUUUUUAAUUAGUGUUAUAUGUUUUAAUAAAUAUAUAACAUUAAUUAAAAAAUUAAUUUCGAAAGUCUAUCAAAAUGAAGAUCAAAACCAGUGAGUUUUCUAUUUUUUAUUUUUGUUCUUGUUGGAUAAGUCUGGCUCCCUGUUGCAUCAUUUUGAUUCAUUUUUACUUUUCUUUGUUUAAUUGAUUCCCAUGUUGAUUGUUAUUUGUGAUUCCAUUUAGUUUUAUUCAUGAUCAAUUCCUGUUAUCCAUGAUUUUAUUCAUGUUUAUUGAUUUUGUUUAGCUUUUAUUCGUUGAUUCUGUUAUCCUUUUCUUAAUAACUCUGUUCGUUUUUUUUGGUUCAUAAUUCUGAUUAGUUAAUCUUGUGUUAGUUUAUUUUUUCUUUAAUCGUUUAAUUUAGUUUAGUAUAAUGCGAAUUAGUUAAUUCAUGACCUAAAGUGUUAUGUUGAUUGUUGCUUGUUGAUUUUGUUCAAUUAAUAGUUCAGUAGGAGUUUGAAUUAGGAUUAGUCUUCAGUCUUGUUUAACAGUUGAAAAUUCACUCUUAGAGCUUAUAAAUCUGUUUGGUUAUAGCUGUAGUAGGUUAGUAAUUUUAGUUUAAGCUCAGAGGUAAUUUGGGUAUUUAGAAUAGGGUAGGAAUAUUGUAGUUAAAGCUAGAACCCUCUAGAAUCCUCUAAAAUAGGGCCUUUGUUAUAAUUCCAAAAAAUUAGAGCACUUACUUGAGUAACAAGUCAAAAAUUAAAGGACAAUAUAAGUAAAAUUGAAAUUUUAAAAGAGGGACUAAAGGGUAAAGUUGAAAAAUUGAUAUUUCCUUAGCUUUGCCUAUAAAAGGCAAUCACUAGUGCCUUCACUAACAAGUUUUUGAACCCUGAAAAUUUCCAAAAAGUUUUUCAGCCUCUAAAAUCCCCCCCAAAAGUGUUCAAUAAGUUUCUAUCUGAAACUUGAAUUUCAAAUUCAAAAUUCUUCAAAAAAUACAAAAAAUAACAGAAAAUCUAAAAUAAAUCCCAGAAUACUGUUUUAUUAAAGCUUUUUCUUAGAUUAGUGUAAUUUGAAUUUUUUUAUAUAAGGUAAAAGCCGACUUGAAAAUAUCUGGUUUUGGCUGCUGAAAUUCUGAAAUCCUAGGCUUAAUUUCGAGUUUUAGAGAUUGAUUUGCAUUUCUAGCUCAACGUUUGGUUGCUGAAGUUUUUUCUGAAGUUCUUGGGCCAAUUUUGAGUCUAUUCGGGUCCAAUCAGAUCUAUUGCGUGUGUCUAUUAUUUUAAAGUUUUGCAAAUCAUUCCUGGAUGUUGUGAAGUCAUUUUGGUUUUGAAAUUGCCCCUAUUGUCGUUGAUGAGUCCUGCUGUAGACAUCUGCUGCUGACUCCUUUUGCUUCUUCUUUAAUCAUAAAUUCCAGGUAUUCUCUAAUUUUCAAUGUGUGAAGACUUGAAUCAACCAUGUGACUGAAUAUUUGAAGAACAUGAUAUGCUGUUCAUACCUUUCUCAUCGAAGAUUUUGAAUUCUAGAUCACGUAAUAAUAAUUGAAUUUUAAAUUACAUGAACACUUCCUGAGUUGUACCUAAUUGGACUGUAUCUGGACUGUAUGAGCUACUGUUUUCUCAGAUUUGUAUGAGCAUUAUAAGUUAAACACUAGUUGUACUUAUUUUCGUUGUGGGUUGAUAGAACAAUUUCAUGAUUAGUUGAAGUUAAUUUCCUGUUCACUGCUUUAUACAUCUGUGUAAAAAAUGACUCAGUCACCAGAUGAAAUUUCCAGUAAUUAUUUUCAUUUUUAAUUAGUGAUAGAGCUAUUUGGAAUACUAAAUAAGUAUGUUAGUAAAUUUGAAGGUCAUAAUAGUUAAAAAUAUAGUCAAGCUGUUUAGUUUAUGCAUUAGAGGUUUACAUGCAUGGGUAUUUUGUUAAAUUCAGUUCAUAUUUCCAUUUUUUUUACCCUUAGUGAUAAACGAAGUUAAAACUGUUGUUGAUAUCCAGAAGCGCACCAGUAGACAGAUAGAUAAAGAAAUAUGAGCUUUAGAAUUAAAAAUCAAAUCUGUUCGGGUUAGAUGUCAAACUAUUUUAGGUUUUAUUGACAUGACUAAGUUUAAUGAGAGUCGAAAUUCCAUGUGUAAAGGAUUAAAAUAGAAAUCAGUACUUCAAUGUAGAAAUUGUCAACAUUCAAAUAAGUGUGUUCAGAUUUAAGAUCGUCAGGCGUCAAUGUGAAUAAGUUUGGAAUAUGUAAGUUAUUUGCAAAUUGUUAAAUAUUAAGUUUGGGCCUGAACUCUGUCUGUACGAAGCCCAACUUGAACUUGAUUGUGUAUUUUUCUUACUGGGCUAAGCGUGAGGCUCAAAGCAAUUGCUGAAAUGUUGAAUGAAAGUCAAGGACCUAAGUAUAAUAGUUCUUAAACAAUACUAAUUAAUUAAGCCCUUUUAGAGACAAAUCCAAUAGAAAAUAAUAGUUUGCUUUAGGAUAUCCUUAAUAGUCGCUUUAGGUGCGCCUUUUAAUAAUUUUACCUUCCUAAAUACGGUGUGUAUUUCCUGUAACCCAAAUCCAAAUCCCAAAAUGUUGAAUAAGAGUGUGUCGAGGAUACAGGUGCAUUUCAUGUGACGUGAUCCAAUAACACGUUCUUAAACGAUGUUCACUUUCUAAAAAUAAAAUUCAAUUAAAAGCGGUUAAAUAAUUCUAAAAUUUCACUAUAGGAUGACAUGUUAAAAUCAAAUUCUAGCCAUUUAUAAUAAUUUAAGCGACUUUGCUAGAACCACAGGAUCCGUGGGUGCCUAACACCUUCCCUCGGGUCAACAUAAUUCCUUAUUCACAUUUUCUGGUUCGCAACUUGGGAUUCAACCGAUGACUUGGAACACUAUAAAUCUUCCAAGUGGAGACUCUGAACUUUUAAUAAAUAAAUCCCGUUUCGAUUGUCCUUUAAUUGGAAAAUCACCCUUAUAGCCUUAUGGGGUGUGGUAAAAAGGAGGUGUGACAGCUCUGGCGACUCUGCUGGGGACACAAACCCAAAAAGUUCGGUUCAAGGUUUAAGGUUCGAGCUUAGUAUAAAUAUUAUAUUUGGCUUUAUCUGAUUUUCCUACCUGUUCCAUGCUAUACGUGCUAAAUGUUUCAUUGCUUUGACAUUUUUUGAAUUGUAUAUAUAAACUGUUACGAAUCCCUUCCUCUCUCUAAGUCUUCUACGUCAUAGAGAAGGGUGCACUUCGUGUAGCUUCUCUUCUGUUUAGAGUCUAUACGGUUCAAAAAAGAAUUGUGAAUCAAUGUAUAGAUUCCAGUCCUCUUUCUUUUUUUCUAGNN